rnacentral:lncRNA from 10 species
CGCCGCCUCCCGUUCGCCUCUGCGCCUGGCCCGGCGACUGCGGGCGCUGCGGUCCACUGGGUCCGCCUCUUCCCGGCAUGGGUUUCUGCCCAGCUCACCCGCUGUCAGCUGGGGUCCUGCUCUGGUGGGAGGAAGAGGCUCAGACGCUUCCCUGCCCUCUCGCCUCAACCACCUCGAGGCAGCGGCUCCCAGGAUGUGCACUUUGACGACUAAAGCUGAGCCGGCGCCGCCACGACCUUGGGCGGGUGGUCGGCCUCUGCCCUGAGCAGGAAGUAGAAAGUCUCAGCAGACCCUUCCUGAGGGCCGAGCAACAGUGUAGUGGCGUAUUCCACAUAGCAAACAAUGUACACUAGAUUUUGAUGGCAUUUUUCCAGGGACCCUGGGAGCAUCUGUGUUCUCGUGUUCUUCUUGCCUGUGAGGCCUCUUCUCUCUGAGGACAGAUGGUAGGACAGAGAGAAGACAGCAAAUGGAAAACAAAGGCUGCUAUUUUUUUGUGGGGUGUGUACAAUAUCUAUUCUACAUCUCUGCCCAUCCCCAUUUUCUCCUCCUCCAGAGAGCAUACAAUUAAGGCUAUAAACUGAAGUGGAGCCCCCAUUAUUUACCCCUAAAAAUGAAUACAGAUCUCAGCCUCUCAUUACCCCUUGGUUAGAAAGAGAGAGCAUUUUGGUCUGUUUGGGCGACUAUAACAAACAUACCUUAAACUGGGUGGCUUUUAAACAACAGAAAUUUGUUGCUCACAGUUCUGAAGACUGGUAAGUUCAAGAUCAAAGCACCAGCAGAUUUGGUGUCUGGUGAGGGCCCACUUCCUGGAUCAUAGAUGAUGCCUUCUUGCUGUGUCCUCACAUAGUAGAAGGGCAAGGCAGCUCUCUGGACCCCUUUCUUUCCUUUUCUUUUCUUUUCUUUUUUCUUUUCUUUUCUUCUCUUUCCAUUAAUCCGGUCCAUGAGGGCUCCAUCCUUAUAACCUAAUCACUUCUCAAAGGUCCCAUCUCCUAAUACUAUCGAGUUGGUAAUUAGGAUUCAACAUAUUAAUCUGUGGAGGAAGGGGACACAAAAAUUCAGACCAUAGCUGGUAGUGAUGAAGAUAGAAUGAGCCAGGUCCCAAUGUGGGGCCAGGUGUGAGGGGGGCAGUAGCUGGUCAUGGACAUGUGGAUGUUUGCUGAGUGAUGGGUGAGCAAGUCCCUGCCAUCUCAUAGGGACACUGUAAAAACUGCCCUCUUGAUGACCUUAGCAGUGCAAUCAUAUUAGCAAUGACAUCCACCUUGAGGAGGGAAAAGAUGGGUGUGAACAAGAAGGAUAGUUUCUUUCUCCUUACAGCAUCCAUUAUGUAGCAUAAAAAUUAGGGCCCCCAUGUAUCCAGGAAAGCAGUCAGAGCAUUCAUUAUUCAAUAACCAUAGGUGCUUAUUCCAUACUGUUAUGGACUGAAUCGUGUCACCUCCAAAUUCAUAUGUUGAAGCCCUAACUACCAAUAUGACUGUAUUUGGAGAUAACACCUUCAAGAAGGUAAUCAAGGUUAAAUGAGGUCAUAAGGAUUGGAUCCUAAGCUGAUAGGACUGGUGUCCUUAUAAAAAGAGACACUAGAGAUCUCUCUCUCUCUUUGUAUACACAGAGAAAAAGUCAUGUGAUGACACACCAAGAAGGUGGCUGUCUGCAAGCCAGGAAGAGAGGCCUUACCAGAAACCAAUCCUGGUGCACCUUAAUCUCAAACUUGAGCCUCCAGGACUGUACGAAAAUAAAUAUUUGUUGUGUAAGCACCCCCAGUGUAUGCUAUUCUGUUAUGGCAGCCCUAGCACACUAAUAUAAAUGCCUACUGCCUGCAAAGUGCUUUGCCUUUGAGGGUUGCAAAAGAGGAUCCCCUCCAGGGAUCCAUGGUCUCAUUGGGAUUUUCCUGUUUGGUCUGUGUCCUGUUCUUGAGUCUCCGCAGGCAGCAUUUCUUCCUGUGACAAUAUGGUGUAAGACAAAAUUGUGGCCUGCCAUGAAGUUGUGAGAGAAAAGCAUCCCUCAUUUCUUCAGGAAAGGCCACUGCCGUUCCCUCCGGCUCCUCUUCUCAGGAGUUUGUGCAUUCAUGAGGUGAAUUCCUUGGAAGAUGAGGGCCAAGUCUUAUUCUUCUCAGUCUCUUCUGCAUCUAGCAGAAGAAUAAUGGUUGCACAGAAAAUCUUGGUUCAGUGGUUGAGUGAAUGAAUGGAUGAACAGGCUCUUGCACACAAAGAAGAGACAUGAUGUAUUUGCAUCCUUCCCUGCUUCAGCCAGGUCCCCAGACAGUCCCGGUGUGCACACUUCCCUGCUUCUGUUCAUGAUGUUCUCUGAACCUGGGAUCACCUUUCCCCUUCCUCUUACCUGCCCGAUCCUACUUGUCCUCCCAGAUUCAGUUUUCUGAAGCUCAGAGGGACACCUUGUAUUGCUGGAUGAUAAAAACAGGAGCAAAGUGAUGAAGUGCUGACAAGGCAACAAUAGAACAUGAGAGAUUCACUGCUGUGUAGGAAGAGAUCUUCGGUGACCAUGUAGCCUGAAGCUCUCAUUUUGUCAUCGAGGGACACCAAAACUCAGAACAGCAGCAGCUCACGCUGCUGAUGCAACACAGGUGAAGAGCACCUUCCCCUCCCCCACCUGUGGGCUGAUUCCCACCACGUGGAUCCCAAGGCCAUCCCAGGAACUCUUUGGAGGGGAGAAGCCCAGUGGAAACUGUCAGGCCUCUGAGCACAAGCCAAGCCAUCGCAUCCCCUGUGACUUGCACGUAUAUGCCCAGAUGGCCUGAAGUAACUGAAGAAUCACAAAAGAAGUGAAAAGGCCCUGCCCCACCUUAACUGAUGACAUUCCACCAUUGUGAUUUGUUCCUGCCCCACCUUCACUGAGUGAUUAACCCUGUGAAUUUCCUUCUCCUGGCUCAGAAGCUCCCCCACUGAGCACCUUGUGACCCCCGCCCCUGCCCACCAGAGAACAACCCCCUUUGACUGUAAUUUUCCAUUACCUUCCCAAAUCCUAUAAAACGGCCCCACCCCUAUCUCCCUUCGCUGACUCUCUUUUCGGACUCAGCCCGCCUGCACCCAGGUGAAAUAAACAGCCAUGUUGCUCACA